rnacentral:rRNA from 1 species
GACAGAGGGGGCAAGCGUUGCUCGGAAUCACUGGGCGUAAAGGGCGCGUAGGCGGUUUGUCGCGUCUGCCGUGAAAGUCCGGGGCUCAACUCCGGAUCUGCGGUGGGUACGGGCAGACUAGAGUGAUGUAGGGGAGACUGGAAUUCCUGGUGUAGCGGUGAAAUGCGCAGAUAUCAGGAGGAACACCGAUGGCGAAGGCAGGUCUCUGGGCAUUAACUGACGCUGAGGAGCGAAAGCAUGGGGAGCGAACAGG